AGUAAGAGCCACCGGUUUUUCAUACGUCCUUCACUGCUCCCACCAAGUGUCACCAGCGCACGUCUCUGAUGGAGGGCUUGACAGGACAAGGCUGGGCCUGUGGCGAAGCAUGGCGGUAAAGCGAUCCCUUCACUCAACAACUCUGACUCUGUUGCAUAUUGGAAAGAUUGGCCCAUGGCUAGCGGGCAUGUUUGGGGGGAACGUGGCACCGUGUAACUCCGAAGGACGUCAGCCCCUGACAGCCUGUGUGAAUGCUGUCCUUGGGAGUCCUGCUCCCAAGCGUGUUUACUAAGAAGCACUAGGAUAGCAGGAGGACCCAGGUCACUAGCUUAUGCGACCGGAAUGGAAUGCUGGGGCGCUGGCUGCCUUACUGUACUCAUUUCAUCCACAGUGUGACUGUUACCGGAGGGGAGCAACGUUCUUCUGGAAACAUCACCCAGUGGGUCCCUGCGCCCAUCGACCCCUCACUCCUCACUCUAGAGAGCGGACUCUGUGCCUGCCGGCUUCCUAGCCAGUCCCGUGGAGUGCUCACCCCGGACGCAGCGCUGAGCGGGACAGCUUUCCUGCCCUCAGCGCGGCCACAGUCAGGGCCACCUUAACCAUAAACGCAACCCAGUGCAUUAAACCAAAUGGGGCUAAAAGUGGAGCAUUCGGUGCUCAGGGGAUCCUUCCGGGGCUGCAGAGGCAGGCUCUGGGCUGAGCGCUCAGGGUGGCUGGGGCUCUGCUGAGCCCGGAAAAAGAGGACAAAUCAGGAAGCGGCCACCGCUGCUGCCGCUCCCAGGACCUGCUCCUUCUGCCGGGGUCAGGAAGCCCCCGCGACUGCAGAGUCUGCAGAAUCCGGCCACCACCCACGGAACAAAGAAGGCUCCCGCGGGAUCCGGGACGCCACCCCGGCAGCUGUGACCUCAAGGUCCCGCAGCAAAGCGGGUACUCCGCAUCCUGCGCUUGGUCUCACAGAAAGCCCUCUGGUUGGUGGGACUUCCAUCACCACCAAAACUCAGUUGCAAGGGAGUCUGGGAAAUGUAGUUUUUAGCAUUGUGACCUCUACAAGGGCAGAGAGCACUGCAGCGGAGGGCCAGGGGGUACAACCGUUCUACCCACCGCUGUCAGGUCUCUUUAUUCCCUUCCAAAAGCAUGCGGGUCUCCCGUCACACAACCUGUGUAGCAGAAGCUCCACAGGGCUGUCCAGUGCCUUCUCAGCAGAAGAAAGGGGCUCUCUGUCUAGACCCACAGGAAGGCAUGGCAACAGAAGGCCACGUCUGGAAAGCAGGGGUGAAAAAAGGAUGGCAGAGAGCACUGACCAUAGUUUGUGA
rnacentral:lncRNA from 1 species